rnacentral:rRNA from 1 species
GCACAAGCGUGGAUUAUGUUGUUUAAUUCGACGCAACGCGAAGAACCUUACCAGGCCUUGACAUACUCGGCAAAGCUCUAGAGAUAGAGUGGAGGUUUAUCCGGGAUUACAGGUGGUGCAUGGUUGUCGUCAGCUCGUGUCGUGAGAUGUUGGGUUAAGUCCCGCAACGAGCGCAACCCUUGUCUUUAAUUGCCAUCAUUUAGUUGGGCACUUUAAAGAGACUGCCGGUAAUAAACCGGAGGAAGUGGGGAUGACGUCAAAUCAUCAUGCCCCUUAUGACCUGGGCUACACACGUGCUACAAUGGUUGGUACAACGAGUUGCGAGUCGGUGACGGCGAGCUAAUCUCUUAAAGCCAAUCUCAGUUCGGAUUGUAGGCUGCAACUCGCCUACAUGAAGUCGGAAUCGCUAGUAAUCGCGGAUCAGCACGCCGCGGUGAAUACGUUCCCGGGCCUU